UCAGGAGAUUUGGAUCCUGAACUGUAAAGUCAUUUCUCCAUGGUGGAGAACAGUUUUCGUGGUAGAGGCUUCACCUUCUUUGACCAGCAACAGCUGGGUCAUCUUUCAACUAGGCCAGUGAAGAAAACGUCAGUGGCAGUGCAGUUGCUGAUGACAGCUCACACAGAAAUGUUGGAUUUCUAACCAUUGGUUCAAAAUACUGAUUUCAAACUUUGGUGCUGUAAUGACAAUAUAGUCAAAGACUUGCCAUUGUUCGCCUAUGACUAAGAAAUAAUGAUCAUGCAAACAGGAAUUAUUGAUCAUAACAGAUCUGUUAUUAACAGUUAUGGAACCACAGCUGUCUAAAGAGGAUGAAGUAACUAAUUGAAACUGGGUGUAUUUGUUGAGCAGCUGUUCUCCAGAGCUGAGGUGACAGUGGAAUACAUUUAUGGAAAAGAAAACAACAGAAGCACAAGAACACCAUGACAGCAGCAGAAACCAACUCACUGGAGAUGGCAAGAAAACAGUACACUAGCAGUUAUGUUUAAUAUAUAGUCAUUCCCAAUAACAGCUGUCCCAGCAUGAGGAGAAGCUGGAGAAUACCCAUGAGUGCUCUCGUGUGGUUAGCUCAACAGAGGCCUCUGCUGAGCAAAUAGUAACUGCCUGAGACAAGUUCAAAACCAGGAAAAGCAUCUCACCUUGGCACACCUUUAUAAGGGUCAUACAGUACUCCUCUUACAAACAGUAUUGUGAGGAAAGAAACUUCCAAAGGAACAGAUAAGUGUAAAUAGAACUGUCUUAUUUCUAAGAGGGAAAAAAAAAACCACAUCCAAAAGCUGUGUGUUAUGAAAUAAGAAUUUUCACAAAUGGUUUGCAAUUAGAAACCACUUUAUAUAUCUUGCAAUAAUUUUGUUUAUUAAAGGUUCAAAAGUCAUUUGAGCAAUUGCUUCAGAGAGACUGAUUUGCCAUAAGAUUCAAAGUAUACCUUUGGAUCAUUUCAAACUGAUUUCUGUCCUUGCUUAAUUGUAUUUGUCACACUGCAGCUGAAUCAAAUCAUUGAUUUGUCAGAAGUGCUUUAUUCUUCACUCUAGAUCUGUGCAGAUCUAAGCUAUAAACCAGGAAAGCAGUAAAAAGUUGCAUUUGUAAAUAUUUUAGAGAAGACUACUGUUCUGUGGUGCUUUAUGCUGUUUUCUCUGGUGCUAUUGAGUGCUUUGUAGAAGCUCACUUGGGAAAUGUAUUCUUUGAUUUUGGUAAUCAAUUGAUCAACAUUUGAAGCUCUGCUCAGACAGUUAUUGUGAAGAGCAGUACUUUCAAAUAGCCA